GGCUGAAACUCGCCUUCAUGAAGCUGGAAUUGCUAGUAAUGGCAGGUCAGCAUACUGCCGUGAAUACGUUCCCGGGCCUUGUACACACCGCCCGUCACACCAUGAGAGUUGGAAAUACCCGAAGCCUGUGAGCUAACUUUUAGAGGCAGCAGUCGAAGGUAGAGCCAAUGAUUGGGGUGAAGUCGUAACAAGGUAAC
rnacentral:rRNA from 1 species